rnacentral:rRNA from 1 species
UACGGGGGGGGCAAGCGUUGUUCGGAAUUACUGGGCGUAAAGGGCUCGUAGGUGGCCAACUAAGUCAGACGUGAUAUCCCUCAGCUUAACUGGGGAACUGCGUCUGAUACUGGAUGGCUUGAGUUUGGGAGAGGGACGCGGAAUUCCAGGUGUAGCGGUGAAAUGCGUAGAUAUCGGAAGGAACGCCGGUGGCGAAAGCGGCGUGCUGGAUCUCUUCUGACGCUGAGGCGCGAAAGCCAGGGGAGCAAACGGG